CAAAAUGUAGUUAAAGUUUAUAAAGCGCUUCACUUACAAUGAAGAAAUAACCUGGAAUAUUAGGUUCAUUUUGG
rnacentral:tRNA from 1 species